UCAAUCAUCCAAUAAAUAUCCUCCACUUCCAAACCCUACUCGCUUCUCCUCGCCCUCCCACAUCUCACCUCAGACGCGCCGCCGCUCUUCUCGCCUCAGAUGCGCCGCCGCCCUCCUCGCCUCUCCCUGUCCCGUCCCCAACUGGCACUUCUCCGGCCUCCACACCUAUCCCUCUCUUUCUCCUCAGAUCUGCGCGCUGCUCCCUCUCGCUCGUCCAGGGCCGCGGCCACCGUCUCGCUUGACCUCGUCGCCGCUGCGCAGGUGCUUGGACCCAGCUCGGGCACUCCUUCCUGCGGGCGGCGGUGCGUGGAUCUAGAGGAGGCGCGGCCUCAGGUGAAGUGCACGGAUCAAGAGCAGGCGGUGCUUCUUUCUCUCCUGCUCGGAGCGGAUCGAGUCCGCGGGGUUCUUCCUCGGCAAUUCAAGCUCGACUUCCAGCGGCGCGGGCUUCCCCCACCGACGACGGCGUGGUUGUCGCGGGCUGGGCGGCCGCUUCUUCCUCCCCAGCGUCACAUCUCCUCCACUCCGUCCAUGGCUUCUUCCCCUACCUCCAGAAGACCACCUGCUCCAUGUGCGAUACGCCGCUGGCCGCAUUCGCAAGUGCAAGAUCCGAUGGAGCAAAGGUUGUGCAGGAGCAAGUGAUGAGAAUGGCUGGUCAUCACACAGGGAAGAAAGAUAAUUUGAUUUCUAAUUGAUCGUUGUUUAUGUGAAGUGAGGCUAGUACUCGCACUGCAAUAUUGUUUUCAUGAGUUUUUUUGUUUAUUUAUUUUAUCCUAAUGUGGUCUAGUAUAAACUAAAUUUUUGCUGAGAUAAAUUGGCAAUAAGCAAAUAUUUCUUUGCACAGUUUUUUAUUGCAUUAGCAUGCAGCAAUUUUGAUUUGGUAAAUAAAGUCAACUGGUGCUCGAUGAUUGUCCUAAUAAGCUGUAGCUAUCCUGUGCAGUGUAUUGUUUGUGACCUACAAGCUGAUAAGAGCCUUUGAGUCUGUCAUACAUCAAGAUAAGUUUCUGAUCUCUUAUAAUAACAGUCAUACCAUGUUUGUAAUAAGAAAUCAUUAAUUGUAGCUAUCUAUCCUUAAACUUUGCUAUACCAAUUUUUUAGAACUUCGGAUUAGAGGUGUUCUCAACUGCUAUUUUGCUAGACUGAAAGUACUAGUGCUAGGAGGACCAGUUAGAUAUCUAUCUGAAAAUAGAGUUCUUGUUAGAUGGAUGCACUGCCUGAUGAGGUAUUAUAUACAUGUGCUGUACUGCAGAUUUUGUACUCUACUAAUCUGUAGAGAACAUGGAUAGAUAUAGAAAUGUAAGAUCUGAAUAUGCAAGACCUUAGUAUCCUCAUAAUACCAUAUGAAAUUUACCAUGUACAUUUGCAUCUGAACUUUAUAAUAUAUAUGUGCAGGUACAAUAUGGUUGUGGAUGUGAAUGAGAUGGCCGUCAAGCAUACAUGCAAAUUUCUGCUAGGUCAGAGAUGAAAAAGCAAGUUGUGUUGGAGGCGCAGCUUGAGCAUUUGCUGUGUCAAAAUGGACCGAGCAAAGCGUCAUGGUGGUAUGUUAGCUUUUGGUGGAACUAAGCUUUUGCAGGAACCAAACUUGUGUUUGUAAUUCUGCUGAAACCUAUCUUUUUUUUGUUUCUGAUGCUACAAUGGACGGCAAGUGAUACUAGAUGAAAAAAAAUGUAUGUGAUCUGUUGUUUUAAUGCAAUGCUGAAUGGAAACGUGAUUCA